GUAUCGCAAUGGAUAGCGCGUUCGAUUUUUAAUCCAGAAGUUGUGGGUUCGAAUCCCACCUUCA